rnacentral:piRNA from 1 species
UGGAAGAGCCACUCACUCCAUUUUUAGUC